rnacentral:rRNA from 1 species
UACGAAGGGUGCAAGCGUUACUCGGAAUUACUGGGCGUAAAGCGUGCGUAGGUGGUUUGUUAAGUCUGAUGUGAAAGCCCUGGGCUCAACCUGGGAACGGCAUUGGAAACUGGCUUACUAGAGUGCGGUAGAGGGGUGUGGAAUUCCCAGUGUAGAGGUGAAAUUCGUAGAUAUUGGGAAGAACACCGAUGGCGAAGGCAGCCAUCUGGACCGACACUGACGCUGAGGCGCGAAAGCGUGGGGAGCAAACAGG